rnacentral:rRNA from 1 species
UACAGAGGUCUCAAGCGUUGUUCGGAUUCAUUGGGCGUAAAGGGUGCGUAGGCGGCGCGGUAAGUCGGGUGUGAAAUCCCGGGGCUCACCUCCGGAACUGCUCUGCAUACUGGCAGACUUGAGGGUCGGAGAGGUUUGUGGAAUUCCUGGUGUAGCGGUGAAAUGCGUUGAUAUCAGGAGGAACACCCAUGGCGAAGGCAGCAAACUGGCCGGCAUCUGACGCUGAGGCGCGAAAGCGUGGGUAGCAAACAGG